rnacentral:tRNA from 1 species
UGUUAAGUGGCUUAGUUGUUUAAAGCACCGGUACAGCGAAUACGGAGUCGUGGGUUUGAAUCCCACUAGAACGC